GAGUUUGAUCUUGGCUCAGAACGAACGCUGGCGGCAGGCCUAACACAUGCAAGUCGAGCGGCAGCGCGGGGCAACCUGGCGGCGAGCGGCGGACGGGUGAGUAACGCGUAGGAAUCUACCCAGUAGCGGGGGAUAGCCCGGGGAAACUCGGAUUAAUACCGCAUACGCCCUAAGGGGGAAAGCAGGGGAUCUUCGGACCUUGCACUAUUGGCAGAGCCUGCGUUGGAUUAGCUAGUUGGUGGGGUAAAGGCCUACCAAGGCAACGAUCCAUAACUGGUCUGAGAGGAUGAUCAGUCACACCGGAACUGAGACACGGUCCGGACUCCUACGGGAGGCAGCAGUGGGGAAUAUUGGACAAUGGGGGCAACCCUGAUCCAGCCAUGCCGCGUGUGUGAAGAAGGCCUUGGUUGUAAGCACUUAGUGGGAGAAGGUCGGCAGCUAAUACCUGCCGGAAGUGAUGUUACCACAGAAUAAGACACCGGCUAACUCUGUGCCAGCCGCCGC
rnacentral:rRNA from 1 species